GCCAGCAGCCAUCUCUCCCCACAGCUCACAACUGGCAGCCCACUGAAGCUCAGCAGGGUUGAGCCUGGUCAGUACCUGGAUGGGAGACCUCCAGGGAAGCUACUGUAUGGUUGCUGCUGGAA
rnacentral:rRNA from 1 species